rnacentral:ncRNA from 2 species
GUCGUCACCAGGGGGAGCCGGCGCCCCGGCUGAGAGGUCUCCGCGGACGGAGACGACCCCUAGAACCUGAUCCGGAUCAUACCGGCGUAGGAACGCGUGGGACAUGCUGGU